rnacentral:rRNA from 1 species
UACGGAGGGUGCGAGCGUUGUCCGGAAUCAUUGGGCGUAAAGGGCGCGUAGGUGGCCCGGUCAGUCCGUGGUGAAAGCGCGGGGCUCAACCCCGCGUCGGCCAUGGAUACUGCUGGGCUUGAGCACUGUAGAGGCAGGCGGAAUUCCGGGUGUAGCGGUGGAAUGCGUAGAGAUCCGGAAGAACACCGGUGGCGAAGGCGGCCUGCUGGGCAGUGGCUGACACUGAGGCGCGACAGCGUGGGGAACAAACAGG